rnacentral:rRNA from 1 species
GGAAACUUUAGGGGUUAACCCUUUGGUUAAAAAACCUUUUAGGAAAAAAGUUUAGGUUUAAAAGGUCGUUUAAAAGGGCCUCGGACCGUCCUUACGGAACUUUACGAAAUUUAACGACUUAAGUCGGAAAUUAAGGUAAGUAAAAAUUAGGGAAAACUAAGGUACCCGGUUUAGUUACUUACUUUUUAGUUUUUGUUUUGUUGGUAAGUACGUAGUCGUAAUGAUUAAUAGGGAUAGUUGGGGGCAUUAGUAUUCAAUUGUCAGAGGUGAAAUUCUUGGAUUUAUUGAAGACUAACUACUGCGAAAGCAUUUGCCAAGGAUGUUUUCAUUAAUCAAGAACGAAAGUUAGGGGAUCGAAGACGAUCAGAUACCGUCGUAGUCUUAACCAUAAACUAUGCCGACUAGGGAUCGGAUGAUGUUAAUUUUUAAUGACUC